rnacentral:rRNA from 1 species
AACGAACGCUGGCGGCAGGCUUAACACAUGCAAGUCGAACGGGUGCAGCAAUGCAUCAGUGGCAGACGGGUGAGUAACACGUGGGAACCUUCCUAGGGGUACGGAACAACUCAGGGAAACUUGAGCUGAUACCGUAUACGUCCGUGAGGAGAAAGAUUUAUCGCCCUUAGACGGGCACGCGUCGGAUUAGCUAGUUGGUGGGGUAAUGGCCUACCAAGGCGACGAUCCGUAGCUGAUCUUAGAGGAUGAUCAGCCACACUGGGACUGAGACACGGCCCAGACUCCUACGGGAGGCAGCAGUGGGGAAUCUUGGACAAUGGGCGCAAGCCUGAUCCAGCCAUGCCGCGUGAGUGAAGAAGGUCUUCGGAUUGUAAAGCUCUUUUGCCAGGGACGAUAAUGACGGUACCUGGAGAAUAAGCCCCGGCAAACUUCGUGCCAGCAGCCGCAGUAACAC